rnacentral:rRNA from 1 species
GAACGCUGGCGGCGGGCUUAACACAUGCAAGUCGAACGUGAAGCCACCUUCGGGUGGUGGAAAGUGGCGCACGGGUGCGUAACGCGUAGGCAACCUGCCCUUAGCUGGGGGAUAACCAUCGGAAACGGUGGCUAAUACCGCAUAACGUCUCCGGGUCGCAUGAUCUGGAGAUCAAAGCUCAGGCGGCUAAGGAUGGGCCUGCGUCGGAUUAGCUAGUUGGUGAGGUAACGGCUCACCAAGGCGACGAUCCGUAGCUGGUCUGAGAGGAUGAUCAGCCACACUGGCACUGAGACACGGGCCAGACUCCUACGGGAGGCAGCAGUGAGGAAUAUUGCGCAAUGGGCGAAAGCCUGACGCAGCCACGCCGCGUGGAGGAAGACACCCCUAUGGGGCGUAAACUCCUUUUCUGUGAGAAGAAACCCCGGGUUGCCCGGGCUGACGGUAUCACAGGAAUAAGCACCGGCUAACUCCGUGCCAGCAGCCGCGGUAAUACGGAGGGUGCAAGCGUUGUCCGGAAUCACUGGGUGUAAAGGGUGUGUAGGUGGGUCUGUAAGUCAGAGGUGAAAGCCUGCGGCUUAACCGUAGAAUUGCCUUUGAUACUGCAGAUCUUGAGUCCUGGAGAGGCCGCCGGAAUUCGUGGUGUAGCGGUGAAAUGCGUAGAUAUCACGAGGAACACCAGAGGCGUAGGUGGGUGGCUGGACAGGUACUGACACUGAGGCACGAAAGCGUGGGGAGCAAACAGGAUUAGAUACCCUGGUAGUCCACGCCGUAAACGAUGGAUGCUCGAUGCUGCGGCGCUU